GCCUUAACCCUAGAACCUGUGCAC
rnacentral:piRNA from 1 species